rnacentral:misc_RNA from 1 species
AUUGUUCCAAACUAAUUCCUAAUUAGAGAAAUAUCUUUAAUGUCGACUGCCGAGCAUGAGGAGGGACCAUGGUGGCGAGCUAUUUGGCAGUUGGUAACAAGUUAGUCCACCAUCCCACCAAAGACAAAACAGCCAUAACAGCUAUACUGUUUAGCCUUCUCAUGUGCAUAGUUUGGGGGUUGCCGUGUCAAAGAUGACAUCCACUGGGGAGUUGUCCUCUGCAACUAGUGUUAAUUUAGUUCUGUAUCAUCACGAGUCACUUUCACCACAUGGUUAAAACUCACACAUCAGGGGACCAUUUUUCAGGAAAGGUAAUUUCACACGAGUUUUAAGGUCUGAGCAAAUGUUUUUGGUGCCUAUUGAUGGGAGAAAAGUGAGGUCCUUGCCGGUAGUUUUAAGGCAAGUGCAUGCCUACAUGUACGCAUUCUGUUCUUACACUCCUUUUGAGUCUUGGCAAACUAUUAUCGUUAUAGUGAAAUUCUUGCCAGCCUAGGAAUAAUCUGGUGGUUAAAAUUUAAAACUAUAGCUUGAAGUUCUGAUAUUGAAACUUUUCAUGAUGAUACAUAACUCGACCCGCUUCAACACUGAUCAACAAUGGUCUGGUCUCCAAAUCUUGGGAUGCCUUCUGAUAAGCAAGAAAGUGGUGGGAUAGUAACUGUCUGCGUAGCCCCAAAAGCAUUCCAGCAGAAUGGAUCAGCCACAAAUUGCCCUUUAGCAGGAAGGAGUUCUAUAUCUGAAAAUAUAAGGUUAGAACAAGGGACUGAAUCGCUGCAGGCCAAGUGCAAAGGUGGACUCCUUACAUCAUAUGUCCCCUUAAUGUUUAUAUAGGAAAUAUCAGAAAUAUAUACUGCACUUGUUUGGUUAGCGCAUUUCUUGCUCAGGCAGUAGUAUUGGUCUAUAAUAAUUGGGUUCCGGACUGUGUCCAUAUGAAUGUUGUUGAAUGUGACUUCAGAUACAGAGCCGUAGCCUCCUUGCCAUGUCUUGAUUCUAACACCAUUAUCAGAGUGCUUGAUCACUGAAUCAGUGACUGUAACGUUUGAUACACAGGCUUGCGAGUUGCGAAUCCCAAGACUCCCAAUGCUUAUUCCAUGGCUUGGACCACAUGUUAUAUUCCUGAUAUUUACAUCAUGGCAACCAGCUCCAAUUGAUACACAAUCAUCCCCGUUGGAUACGACUGAAUUAUAUAUGUGAACAUUGUUAGUGUUCUCUAUGUGAAUUCCAUCUGUGUUAGGACUUAAAGCUGGUGCUUUAAUGCUGAGCAUUUCUACAAGAACAUUUUGACAGUUAUCAAACCUGAAAUGGAAUUGAGGACUGUUCUUCACUAUAAGUCCUUGGACUGUCAAAUUGGAGCUCAUGAAAAACCUUAUGGCAACUGGGCUGUCACAAGAACCAAGAAGUGCUCUUCCAUUCAUUCCCUGUUUCUUAUUACCAUAGCAUGUUAGUCCAGAGAUAUAAGCAGUUUUCAGUGAAAAUUAUCUGAGAAACAAAGUUGCCCAAAAUGGCCUACUUUGUGAGGCUUGCAGGGCAGGUUCCACCAUUUUUCUCCUCUCCCAUCUAUGACACCUCCCCCUUGCAAUGACAUUUCAUUGAUUUUGUAGAAGACUAGCCAUUGUCGCUUGCUGGUCUUUGUUGGCCAUGAUUCAGGGCCAUCUGGAGGCACUAUGGUUCCAUCAAUCUGAAACACAAGGCCACUUUCGCAAGGUCCUGCGAAGAUAGUAGGUAGUAUCACGAAACUAUAACCAACAGGAGCAAGAAGAACUGACAAUUCUGUCUGGCACUGGCAAGCACCGUCCCAAGCCAUCUUGAAUGCUUGUGUAUCAUCUGAGGAGCCAUCACCCACAGCACCAAAGGAUAGGACAUUGAAAACUCUAGUAGGACUAGGUUCAGGAGUAGGAAAACCUGCAAUGUAACUCCGGCUAGUGGCCUGUGGUGCAGGAGCAGGAACAGGUGGUAGUGAAAUUUGAGAGACUAUAUGCAAGUGUUUGUGUUUUGUGAGGCCAUGAACUACUCUUCCUUCAGUGGAAGUAAAGAAGGGACACGAGUAGAAGGCAAAAACCAGAAGGAAACUUAGAGACAAUGUCAUGGUCAACAUAGCUUUUUA